rnacentral:rRNA from 1 species
CAGCCGCCGCGGUAAUACAGAGGGUGCGAGCGUUAAUCGGAUUUACUGGGCGUAAAGCGUGCGUAGGCGGCUUUUUAAGUCGGAUGUGAAAUCCCUGAGCUUAACUUAGGAAUUGCAUUCGAUACUGGGAAGCUAGAGUAUGGGAGAGGAUGGUAGAAUUCCAGGUGUAGCGGUGAAAUGCGUAGAGAUCUGGAGGAAUACCGAUGGCGAAGGCAGCCAUCUGGCCUAAUACUGACGCUGAGGUACGAAAGCAUGGGGAGCAAACAGGAUUAGAUACCCCAGUAGUCCCUGUCUCUUAUAA